rnacentral:rRNA from 1 species
GUCCAGACUCCUACGGGAGGCAGCAGUGGGGAAUAUUGCACAAUGGGGGAAACCCUGAUGCAGCGACGCCGCGUGAGUGAAGAAGUAAUUCGUUAUGUAAAGCUCUAUCAGCAGGGAAGAAAAUGACGGUACCUGAGUAAGAAGCCCCGGCUAACUACGUGCCAGCAGCCGCGGUAAUACGUAGGGGGCAAGCGUUAUCCGGAUUUACUGGGUGUAAAGGGGGCGCAGACGGCAGCGCAAGCCAGGAGUGAAAGCCCGGGGCCCAACCCCGGGACUGCUUUGGAAACUGUUAAGCUGGAGUACUGGAGAGGCAAGCGGAAUUCCUAGUGUAGCGGUGAAAUGCGUAGAUAUUAGGAGGAACACCAGUGGCGAAGGCGGCUUGCUGGACAGAGACUGACGUUGAGGCUCGAAAGCGUGGGGAGCAAACAGGAUUAGAUACCCUCGUA